rnacentral:rRNA from 1 species
AUAACAAGGUUUCCGUAGGUGAACCAUCGGAAGGAUCAUUACUGUGGAAACGUCUCGGCCACUCGUGUCCCGCAUUGGGGCCUUCUGCGCCAGCGUUUAGCACCCUUGAUUUUGAGCACCUUUUGUUUCCUCGGCGGGUUCGCCCGCCAGCGAGGACCCCCAUGAACUCUUCGGUAAUAGCAAUUUUAGUCUGAAAUACAAACAAUAAUCAAAACUUUCUAACAAUGGAUCUCUUGGUUCUGGCAUCGAUGAAGAACGCAGCGAAAUGCGAUAAGUAGUGUGAAUUGCAGAAUUCAGUGAAUCAUCGAAUCUUUGAACGCACAUUGCGCCCCUCGGUAUUCCGUGGGGCAUGCCUGUUCGAGCCUCAUUUAAACCCUCAAGCUCAGCUUGGUGUUGGGUGCUUGUCCCGCCUCCGCGCGGCGACUCACCUCAAAGUCAGUGGCAGCCCGCAUCAGCCGGCCGUGAGCGCAGCACAGUCGCGCGCUAGGCCCCGGCUAGGUCGGCUCUCCAGAAGCACAUCUACUUAUUUGACCCCGGAUCAGGUAG